rnacentral:rRNA from 1 species
UACGGAGGGAGCUAGCGUUGUUCGGAAUUACUGGGCGUAAAGCGCACGUAGGCGGCUAUUUAAGUCAGAGGUGAAAGCCCGGGGCUCAACCCCGGAAUUGCCUUUGAGACUGGAUAGCUUGAAUCCAGGAGAGGUGAGUGGAAUUCCGAGUGUAGAGGUGAAAUUCGUAGAUAUUCGGAAGAACACCAGUGGCGAAGGCGGCUCACUGGACUGGUAUUGACGCUGAGGUGCGAAAGCGUGGGGAGCAAACAGG